rnacentral:rRNA from 1 species
GACGAACGCUGGCGGCGUGCUUAACACAUGCAAGUCGAACGGAAAGGCCCUGCUUUUGUUGCGUGCUCGAGUGGCGAAGGGGUGUGUAACACGCGAGUAACCUGCCCUUGACUUUGGGAUAACAUCAGGAAAAUGGGGCUAAUAUCGCAUAGGAGCUCCUGCUGCAUGGUGGUGGUUGGAAAGUUCCGGCGGUUGGGGAUGGACUCGCGGCUUAUCAGCUAGUUGGUGGGGUAGUGGCUUACCAAGGCUUUGACGGAUAGCCGGCCUGAGAGGUGGAACGGCGACAAGGGGACUGAGAUACGGCCCAGACUGCAACGGGAGGCAGCGGUGGGGAAUAUUGCACAGUAGGCGGAAGCGUGAUGCAGCAGCCCCGCGUGCGGGAUGACGGCCUUCGGGUGGUAAACCGCUGUCGCCGGUAACGAAGCGGGAGUGACGGUAACGGGUAAAGAAGCACCGGCUAACUACGUG